rnacentral:rRNA from 1 species
AAACAUGCAAGGCGUAAUUUUGACACCAUUAAUGUUCUGCUGCACUGGAGAAUUUGGAAGGAGAGGAAUGCUACGAUUUUUGAGCAGGUGGCUAGCAGUCCGGGCAGGGUGCUUGAUCUUAUCAGAGAAGACAUUGGAGCUUGGAGGGCGGCUGGGUGUGUGGUUGAUGCCGCUGACCACAUUUGA